CUGCAAUCGCUUCGAAGUAUUAAAAUAGAAAGUGAAGCGAGUCGUCGAGAGGGAUGCAAUAUGGACGGGAGGAAGGCUAAAUUGACAACAAUUGUGCCACAAUACUACAACAAUGAUAGCAAUACAAACAGCUAGUAUGACGAAUUGUUUUUUAUGCAAAUAAGUGAGCUGUACGAGUAUACUCUCUCCUCAAAAAUACACAAUACACUGCAGACCUACAAAAGCUACUUCGUACUACUUCAUGACGCCUGCAUUUAAUUAAACACAAAUAAAAACAUAUUUACACAAGGAAACAGGAAGCAAACUAUACAAAAACAAAAAACAAAACAGGA